rnacentral:rRNA from 1 species
AUUUUCUUUAAAUUUAAAGAAUUUGGCGGUAAUUUAGUCUAGUCAGAGGAACCUGCUUUUUAAUCGAUACAACACGUAGAAUUUUACUUAUUUUUGUUUAGUUUGUAUACCAUCAUUGGCAGAUAAUUUUAUAGAAAAUAAAAUUAUUAAAAAUAAUUUAUUAACAAAAUUAGAUCAAGGUGCAGCUUAUAAAUAAGUUAAAGUGGGUUACAAUAAGAUUUAUUUAAACGAAAUUUAAAUAGAAAUAUUUUUAGGAAGGAGGAUUUGAUUGUAAUAUAAAUUUAAUAAGUUUAGGAGAUAGGAGCUCUAAAUUGUGUACACAUCGCC